rnacentral:rRNA from 1 species
UAGGGAAUCUUCGGCAAUGGACGAAAGUCUGACCGAGCAACGCCGCGUGAGUGAAGAAGGUUUUCGGAUCGUAAUACUCUGUUGUUAGAGAAGAACAAGGACGUUAGUAACUGAACGUCCCCUGACGGUAUCUAACCAGAAAGCCACGGCUAACUACGUGCCAGCAGCCGCGGUAAUACGUAGGUGGCAAGCGUUGUCCGGAUUUAUUGGGCAUAAUGCGAGCGCAGGCGGUUUCUUAAGUCUGAUGUGAAAGCCCCCGGCUCAACCGGGGAAUGUAAUUGGAAACUGGGAGACUUGAGUGCAGAAGAGGAGAGUGGAAUUCCGUGUGUAGCGGUGAAAUGCGUAGAUAUAUGGAGGAACACCAGUGGCGAAGGCGGCUCGCUAGACUGUAACUAACGCUGAGGCUCGAAAGCGUGGGGAGCAAACAGG